rnacentral:rRNA from 1 species
GCAUCGAUGAAGAACGCAGCGAAAUGCGAUAAGUAAUGUGAAUUGCAGAAUUCAGUGAAUCAUCGAAUCUUUGAACGCACCUUGCGCUCCUUGGUAUUCCGAGGAGCAUGCCUGUUUGAGUGUCAU